rnacentral:rRNA from 1 species
GACGAACGCUGGCGGCGUGCCUAACACAUGCAAGUCGAACGAGAAUCUACUGAAAGAGUUUUCGGACAAUGGAUGUAGAGGAAAGUGGCGGACGGGUGAGUAACGCGUGAGGAACCUGCCUUGAAGAGGGGGACAACAGUUGGAAACGACUGCUAAUACCGCAUGAAGCAUAGGGGUCGCAUGAUCUUUAUGCAAAAGAUUUAUCGCUUCAAGAUGGCCUCGCGUCUGAUUCGCCGGUUGGCGGGGUAACGGCCCACCAAGGCGACGAUCAGUAGCCGGACUGAGAGGUUGAACGGCCACAUUGGGAUUGAGAUACGGCCCAGACUCCUACGGGAGGCAGCAGUGGGGAAUAUUGGGCAAUGGGCGCAAGCCUGACCCAGCAACGCCGCGUGAAGGAAGAAGGCUUUCGGGUUGUAAACUUCUUUUAAGAGGGAAGAGCAGAAGACGGUACCUCUAGAAUAAGCCACGGCUAACUACGUGCCAGCCGCCGCUGUAA